AACACAAGAUACUUAGAGAAAAGGAUCGACAUGCUAAACUGUUUGCCAUGGAAAAACAAGAUAAAACUUCAAACAAAAAUGAGGCUUAUGUAAAGAUGAAAUUAAGUACACAAGCUUUGCCUUCAUGCCCACUUGUGCAUGGAUCCACGCAGUCUACCGUAACAGAAGUGGAGACUGGUCGUAUAACAAGAGGGUCUAUAAAAAGGUGAUAGAGAACAAUCCAAGUCUGGAAUAAUUUGGGAACUGGAUGACCCAACACUCAUACUGGAUGCUAAAAUUAUCGUGUACUAUAAUUUUUGGGGUCAUGUAUACUGAAACCUAAUAUAUUGUUCUUCUCACCAGAGGAGGAUUUGAAUUGCUUGGAGCUUGAAGAGGGUGUUCCAAACAUUUAUGAAUAUGAUGAAGCAAGAAUAUUCCAUGAGACAGAACUCCCAUUUUUAUUUGGAUGAUAUAUUUUUGAAUUAUUUUGUUUUACUAUCUUGUUUUACUCCCAUUUUUAUUGCUUGG